rnacentral:rRNA from 1 species
CCUACGGGUGGCAGCAGUGAGGAAUAUUGGUCAAUGGCCGGGAGGCUGAACCAGCCAAGUCGCGUGAGGGAAGACGGCCCUACGGGUUGUAAACCUCUUUUGCCGGGGAGCAACGCGAACCACGUGUGGUUCAUUGAGAGUACCCGGAGAAAAAGCAUCAGCUAACUCCGGGCCAGCAGCCGCGGUAAUACGGAGGAUGCCAGCGUUAUUCGGAUUUAUUGGGUUUAAAGGGUGCGCAGGCGGAGGUGUAAGUCAGCGGUCAAAUUGCGGGGCUCAACCCCGUACUGCCGUUGAAACUGCAGGCCUUGAGUGCGCGAGAAGUAUGCGGAAUGCGUGGUGUAGCGGUGAAAUGCAUAGAUAUCACGCAGAACUCCGAUUGCGAAGGCAGCAUACCGGCGCGCAACUGACGCUCAUGCACGAAAGCGUGGGUAUCGAACAGGAUUAGAUACCCUUGUAGUC